rnacentral:rRNA from 1 species
UACAAAGGGGGCAAGCGUUGUUCGGAAUUACUGGGCGUAAAGCGCGCGUAGGCGGCCCUGCAAGUCGGGGGUGAAAGCCCGAGGCUCAACCUCGGAACUGCCUUCGAUACUGCGGGUCUCGAGUCCGGGAGAGGUGAGUGGAAUUCCUAGUGUAGUGGUGAAAUGCGUAGAGAUCCGGAGGAACACCAGUGGCAAAGGCGACACGCUGGGCCAUACCUGACGCUAAAGCGCGACAGCAUGGGGAGCAAACGGG